rnacentral:rRNA from 1 species
UACAGAGGGUGCGAGCGUUAAUCGGAAUUACUGGGCGUAAAGCGCACGUAGUCGGCUUUGCAAGUCGGGUGUGAAAUCCCCGGGCUUAACCUGGGAACUGCACUUGUGACUGCAAGGCUGGAGUGCGGCAGAGGGGGAUGGAAUUCCGCGUGUAGCAGUGAAAUGCGUAGAUAUGCGGAGGAACACCGAUGGCGAAGGCAAUCCCCUGGGCCUGCACUGACGCUCAUGCACGAAGCGUGGGGAGC